rnacentral:rRNA from 1 species
UACGAGGGGGGCAAGCGUUGUUCGGAAUUAUUGGGCGUAAAGGGCGCGUAGGCGGUCUGAUAAGUCUUGUGUGAAAUCUCUGGGCUCAACCCAGAGUCUGCACAGGAAACUGUCGGGCUUGAGUAUGGGAGAGGUGCGUGGAAUUUCCGGUGUAGCGGUGAAAUGCGUAGAUAUCGGAAGGAACACCUGUGGCGAAAGCGGCGCACUGGACCAAAACUGACGCUGAGGCGCGAAAGCUAGGGGAGCAAACAGG